rnacentral:lncRNA from 1 species
AUAAAGCAAAUGACCAAGAAACAACUUUUAUAUUAAUCAGGAUUCGUUUUUAAGUUGAAGUGACCAAAAUACAACUCAAACUAACUCAAGCAAAAAAGAAAUAGGUACUGGGGAGAGGGGACAGUAGGGGAACAGGCUCCCACAUACUGAGAUCUGGGAACACAAAGGGAAGUUAUCAGGUCUCUCUCCCUCUCAGCUCUGCUUCUUUCAGUGUGGUGGCCUCAUUCUUUCUAACUGAAGAACGAUCUUUACUGCAGAAAAUUCUAAGCAUUAUUGUGGCAGAUCCAGUAAGUCCCAGAGAAGGAUUCUGAUUGGUCCUGCUUCAGUCACAUGCUUGCAUCUUAGUCCAAUCACUGUGGCCUGGAGGAUGGGACACCAUGAUUUGCAAGACUCUGGUCACAUGCCCACACCUGUGGCUUCUGAAGCAGAGCACCAGCAGUGACAGUCCCACCAGAACCGCAUGGAAUAGAAAACUGUGCAUUUCCCUAAGGAAAGGGAAUGCCAGAGAAGGGCAGAAGGGAAAUCAGGAAGACAAAACGUGUCUUCAUGUUGGAGUGGACCUUUCCUCUAUCUGUCAACAGAAUGGAUAAAUUGUGGAAGAGUAAUAUCAGAAUACUACACAUCAGUAAAAAACAACAAACUUCUGCUACAAACAAUCAACAUCGAUGAAUCUUUCAGGCAAAAGGGUUAAUGCCUACAAUAAGUGUUCUUGAAAUACAGUCACGCGUUGCUUAACCAUGGGGAUAUAUUCUGAUAAAUUCAUCAUUAGGCGAUUUCAUCACUGGGCGAACAUCACAGCUCGUACUCACACAAACCUAGAUGUCAUAGCCUACUACACACCUAGGCUAUAUGAUAUAGGCUAUUGCUAGCAACAAACCUGUACAGCAUGUUACUGUCUUGAAUACUUAGGCAGCAGAGCACAAUGUUAUAGAAACAGAUGAUCAGUGGCCCACGGAUUCCAGGUGAGGAUCUGGGACCCAGACAUCCAGAUAUUGAAAACACAGGGAUGGAGUCUGUAUGGAAAAAAUUAAAAUAUAGCAAAAUGUGAAAUACGGAAGAGAAAUCUUUCAAUUUCCCAAUGGAAGUGAGAAAAGAGCAAAGAAAAGUAUUGGUCUUCCAAAACAAAUAGAGGACGGAGCUGCUGCUGUUGCAUGGUGUCUAGAAACUCAGACAACUUCAUCAUUCCAUAUUUGCAUCCAAGAGAGAGAAAGAAAAACUACAAUCAUUUUCCAUUUACCCAUCAACCCAUCAACCUCCAAAUAAAGGCUAUUAAAAAACAAUCAAAGUGUGAAGAGGGCAGAAAAUGUGAUGAAGAGAUUCUUUGGAGAAAGUAGCUGCCACUGUUACCUUGGGAUCUGCCUAUAGUCCUCACAGAGCUUGCCCUUGCAGGAUAGAACAUAGGAGUCUGGGAGUCUGCAAGAAGAGACAGGGUCUCACUAUGUUGCCCCAGUUGGCCUUGAA